rnacentral:rRNA from 1 species
UACGGGGGGAGCAAACGUUGUUCGGAAUCACUGGGCGUAAAGGGCGUGUAGGCGGCUGAAUAAGUGGGAUGUUAAAUCCCCCGGCUCAACCGGGGACCUGCAUCUCAUACUGUUCAGCUCGAGCACAUCAGAGGAGACUGGAAUUCCCGGUGUAGCGGUGAAAUGCGUAGAUAUCGAGAGGAACACCAGUGGCGAAGGCGAGUCCCUGGACAACUCCUGACACUGAGGCACGAAAGCUAGGGGAGCAAACAGG